rnacentral:rRNA from 1 species
GAUGAACGCUAGCGGCAGGCUUAACACAUGCAAGUCGAACGGCAGCACAGGUAGCAAUACUGGGUGGCGAGUGGCGCACGGGUGCGUAACGCGUAUGCAACCUACCUCUAUCUGGGAGAUAGCCCGAAGAAAUUCGGAUUAAUACCCCAUAAUAUAUGUCUUUCGCAUGUUAGACAUAUUAAAGCUUUGGCGGAUAGAGAUGGGCAUGCGUGACAUUAGCUAGUUGGUAGGGUAAUGGCCUACCAAGGCUACGAUGUCUAGCUGGUCUGAGAGGAUGAUCAGCCACACUGGAACUGAGACACGGUCCAGACCCCUACGGGAGGCAGCAGUGAGGAAUAUUCGACAAUGGGGGAAACCCUGAUCGAGCCAUGCCGCGUGUGUGAUGAAGGCCUUAGGGUUGUAAAGCACUUUCAUUGGUGAAGAUAAUGACGGUAACCAAAGAAGAAGCCCCGACUAACUUCGUGAACC